rnacentral:lncRNA from 1 species
CUGCCUCCCGGGUUCAAGUGAUUCUCCCACCUCAGCCUCCUGAGUAGCUGGGACUACAGGCAUGUACCACCAUGCCUGGAUAAUUUUUAUAUUUUUUGUAGAGACAGGGUUUUGCCACGUUGCCCAGGCUGGUCUUGCAUUCCUGGGCUCAAGUGACCUGCCUGCCCUGGUCUCACAACGUGCUGGGAUUACAGGCAUGAGCCACUGUGCCCGGCCAUUCUUCACAUUUUAUUUCAAAUUACUGACAAAAUAUCGGAACAGAAGACUGAGGCCUCCACCAAAACACUGGAUGUCUAUGUCCAUAUUCACACCCAACCUACCUGGACUUUGGGGUGAGAAAACCCAGACUUGGACCUUGGUGUCUCCCCCUGCGGUAUCACAGGUAAGGCAUUGAGCAUUGCUCAGGCCCCAGUUUCCGAUCUGUACAGUGGGGAUAAGAAGAUCUCUCAUAGCCAUAACUUAGAGAGCCCAGUAGACCCUCCAUAAGUGAUAGGCUGGACUUUUGAAAGAGGGGGUCGGUUGGGAGCACACAGAUCUGGCCUUAGAUACCUUUAUUCCCCAUUCACUCAACACAUACUAAGUGCUAUGUACCAGAUACUUUCUUAGGCUGUCUAAAUACUAAAGUGGGUGGAAGAGGACACCAGUGGACAGUCCAGUGAGAAAACAAUGAUCAAAGAGUCGCAUGAAUAGUAGCUGAGGAGGGAGGCCUGCUCUAACCUGGAGAGUCAGGAAAGGGCGCCCUGGGAAGGUGGCUUCUGAAUGGAGAUUGAUAGGCAGAGAAGGGAGGGUCACUCCAGGCUGGCUGUUCUCAACCAGGGAGUUUCUUGCCCUUUGGGGCAGGGAGGCAUUCAGCAAGGCCUGGGGAUAUUUUUGAUUGUUAAAACUGAUUGGAAAGUGAUGAGGGAGAGAGAAGCUUCUGCUGUACAUGGAAUAUGCACAGGACAACCCCCCACAAAAAUCACCUGGCCUAAAACAUCAGUAGUCCCAAGGUUGAGAAAACCUGGACCACACAGAAGCAACAGCAUCUGCACAGGCCGUGCUGUGGGAAAGCUGAAGUCCGAGGAGGCCGGGGAGGGUGCUUGAGAAGGCUGGCCUUGGUGAUGAGCCGGCUCAUACAGGGUUCACAGACCACGUGGUGCUUACUUUAAACUGGGGGAGAAUCCAAAGCAGGUCAGUGACAUGAUCCAAGUUAGUGAGGUUUUGACAAGGUCACUUGGCUGCUGGUGGGAAGGGAAUUGGAGAGAGGCUAAGAGGACAUGAGCAGAGAAGCCAAGAGACCAUCCCAGGUGUCAGCGUCGAAAUGAAGGUGGCUCUGUGCAGCCAAGUGGCAGAGGAGCUGGAGAAAUGUGGACAGUUAAGAGUAAUGAUAAGGCCAGAGGUGGGUGGUGGGGGAAUGAGAGGUGCUAAAUAAAAUUCGGCACAGAAGCCACUGAGGGAGAAGCUGGCCUUAAACUGGAGAGAGAAGGUUCUUGAGAAGAAAUGAGAUAGGGCCCCAAAUCAGGUGGAGUUUGGCCCUACAAAAGAGGAAAUAAGGCUCCUGUAUAUUAAGAGGUCCAGAUGGGAACAGAAGUAGGCACCUCUGCACAUUCAUACAGUUGGCUAAGCCCCAGUUGCAGCAUUCAGUGGUCAUAUUACAAGAAGUUCCACCUCUCCAACUCUCAACUUCUUCAUAUUAAAAAAAAAAAAAAAAAAAAAAAAAAAAAAAAGGCCAGUGCAGUAGCUCAUGCCUGUAAUCCCAGCACUUUGUGAGGCCAAAGUGGGUAGAUCACCUGAGGUCAGAAGUUCCAGACCAGCCUGACCAAUAUGGUAAAAAUACAAAAAUUAGCUGGGCCUGGUGGCAUGCACCUGUAGUUCCAGUUACUCAAGAGGUUGAGACAGGAGAAUUGCUUGAACCCAGGAGGCGGAGGUUGCGGUGAGCCGAGAUCGCGCCAUUGCACUCCAGCCUGGGUGACAGAGGAAGACUCUGUCUCAAAAAAAAAAAAAAAUUAAAAAAAAAA